GUGGUUGUGGCUCAGUGGUACAGCGCUUGCCUAGCAUGUGUGAGGUACUGGGUUUGAUCCUCAGCACCACA
rnacentral:tRNA from 1 species